UAUCUCGGAGACAUCGCGCUGGAUGAGGAAGAUAUGCGCAUGUUUAAAGUGGACCGCAUUGUGAAUUUAGCAGAGAGAACAGUCACAGUUCUGAAUCACACAGAUGCGGGUUCACUUAACAACGAGACGAAUACAAACGAUACGGCGUCCAGUCGGGGAUCCUACCGCAGGAAGAGGGCAGCGACGUCCAGACCUGAGAGGGUGUGGCCCGAGGGCGUCAUUCCUUACGUCAUCAGCGGGAACUUCAGCGGAAGCCAGCGAGCCAUAUUCAGACAGGACAUGAGACACUGG